CUGCCGGAGGCGACCGCUGUGGGAGUCCGAUUAAGCCAUGCGAGUCGAGAGAAUAAGAUUCUCGGCAUACCGCUCAGUAACACGUGGAUAACUGCCCUGUGCUGGGGGAUAACCUCGCGAAAGUGAGAACAAUACCCCAUGGGUCACUAUGCCUGGAACGGUUAGUGGCUGAAAGCUCCGGCGGCACAGGAUGGGUCUGCGGCGUAUCAGGUCGUAGGGGGUGUAACGUACCUCCUAGCCUUCGACGCGUACGGGUUGUGAGAGCAAUUGCCCGGAGAUGGAUUCUGAGACACGAAUCCAGGCCCUACGGGGCGCAGCAGGCGCGAAAACUUGACAAUGCGAGAAAUCGUGAUCAGGGGACUCCAGUUGGCUGGAUCAAAAGUCCAGUCUGAACCGACUUUAAAUCGGUCGGGUAAUAGGGGCGGGAAAGACCGGUGCCAGCCGCCGCGGUAAUACCGGCGCCCCAAGUGGUCGUCACUAUUAUUGGGCCUAAAACGUCCGUAGCCGGUUUGGUAAAUCCGUGGGUAAAUCAGACAGCCCAACUGUCUGAAUUCUGCGGGGACUGCCAGACUUGAGACCGGGAGAGGUGCGGGGUACCUGCGGGGUAGCGGUAAAAUGCGAUCAUCCCGUAGAGACCACCUGUUGCGAAGGCGCCGCACUAGAACGGAUCUGACGGUCAGGGACGAAGCCUAGGGGCACGAACCGGAUUAGAUACCCGGGUAGUCCUAGGUGUAAACGCUGUGGACUUGGUGUCGGGGACCUUCUGAGGGUUUCCGGUGCCGGAGUGAAGAUGUUAAGUCCACUGCCUGGGGAGUACGGUCGC
rnacentral:rRNA from 1 species